rnacentral:rRNA from 1 species
UUAUACAUAUUAAGGUAAAAAGGCAGUUAAGUAUAAAAUAAGCAUUAGUCUAUUAAUUUUUUAUAUAAAAGUAAAAUUUGUACAUAAAUAAAUAAUUCAGGAUAGGCUAAUUACAUUGACUCUGCGAUAGCCUUGAGGGAAACUGGGAUUAGAUACCCCAUUAUUCUUGGUUGUAAAUAAACGUAAGUUUACCAGAGUACUAUGAAUUGUAUAUCAAAAUUUAAAACUCAAAGGGCUUGGCGGUGUUUUAGACCUCUCAGGGGAACCUGUCUCAUAAUCGACAAUCCACGUUAAACCUAACCUUUUUUUGCAAUUCAGUUUGUAUACCGUCGUCGUCAGGUAACUUUUAAAAAAUUAGAAGUUGGCAGCAAAAUUAUUAUAGAUUUAAACGUCAGAUCAAGGUGCAGCUAACAUAAAGGUGAGGAUGGGUUACAAUUAAAAAUUAUAAUUACGAAUAAAGUAAUGAAAUAUUUAUUUUAAUGAAGGAGGACUUGAAAGUAAAGCAUAUCU